UAAGUCAAAACGGCUAAUGAUGGCGUUGGAGUAUUUUUUUUCCCUGUAUUUGAGACAAUUGUUAUGUUAUUUGACACAGCGGCUAUUUUAUUUUCGGUCAUGCUACUAAUAUUCUAUUCUUAGUAUUACCUACUCAAUUUCAUAUAAUUGUAGUAAUAUAUUGUCUUUACCCCCUUCUACUGCAUUGCAUCUGCAUUUGAUUACCACAGCAACAAUUUAGUGCAGCUAUAGUACCACCAAGCUUGCCACUGCAGCAGUUAAGUGAACAAAUGAAGUGUCCACAGUCAUUGGAUGGUUGCUUGGUAGAGGUACAUGCUAAUAACUAAUAAGAUUUCCUGUGCAGGGUAUCAUUGUUUUUGCAUGACUGAUGGCUACCUUGGGGCUGGAGAUUUUGGUUGAAUCUGCCUCAAGUGUUAUUUUGAAGAUGAUAUUAUCAUUUGACCUUGCUUUUGCUUUGAUUCCGCUCCUAAAGUUCAGUAGCAGCAAAGUGACUAGCAGCACAAGCAUUGAAGAGAGAUUGCAGGGAUUCCAAGGGAAGGGGACCAGGGGAUGAAAAAUAUGAUUAAAGAGAGUUCUUGAGGAGUUUGUCACAUGCUCAGGGAAGUGGAAGAUUUUGCACGAAGGUUAAAUUCUGCUUGGCCUGAAAGGAUGCAAAUUUGAUCUUUGGCCCAACACAGAAGACUAGUAACAAUUUCUAUGAAUAGCAAUGGUUCAACGCAGCUGUAUAUAGGUAUGUUCUAUCUAUCUUCUCAAUAUUCGCGGUGAACCCUACUUGCUGCCUUGUUUUCUAUCAGAAGCAUCAUUAAAUUUUGUUGACAUGCACAUGACUGGAAUCAACUAGUUAUAAGUUACUUCAUCACUCUCAUGCAUUUCAUUCAUCACAUACAACACUCUCUCCAAAGUUCAAAUUAAGACUGAGGGGUGAGAAAGAGACAAUUAAUAUGGGUGCCGGUCUACUUGCAAUUGGUUCUUGUGCAAUUGGUCUAUGCAGUGAUGAACAUUACUUAAAUGCUUGCAAUAGAAUCUGGAAUGAGCCCUCUUGUCCUUGUUGCUUAUCGACAACUCUUUGCUACUGUGUCCAUUGCUCCCUUUGCUUAUUGGCUCGAGUGGUAAUUAUAUAUAUAUAUACCCUUUCUGGUUUUGUUUUAUUUUCAUAUAUAUAAACAAUGCAUGCAUGAAAGGCUUUGAUGAACUUUGAACCACCUAUAACAUUCUCACUGUGAGUGUCACCGUCGAUAUCCCUUUUCUUUUGGUUGAUGCAUGAUUGUGUUAUUUAUCCUUUAAAUGUAUUUAUAUAUGUUUGUUGUAUAUAAAU